rnacentral:rRNA from 1 species
AGAGUUUGAUCAUGGCUCAGGAUGAACGCUGGCGGCGUGCUUAACACAUGCAAGUCGAACGAACCUUCGGGUUAGUGGCGGACGGGUGAGUAACGCGUGGGAAUCUGCCCUCAGGAGGGGGAUAACGGCUGGAAACGGCCGCUAAUACCCCAUAUGCCGAGAGGUGAAAUGAAUUUCGCCUGAGGAUGAGCCCGCGUCUGAUUAGCUAGUUGGUGAGGUAAGAGCUCACCAAGGCAUCGAUCAGUAGCUGGUCUGAGAGGAUGAUCAGCCACACUGGGACUGAGACACGGCCCAGACUCCUACGGGAGGCAGCAGUGGGGAAUUUUCCGCAAUGGGCGAAAGCCUGACGGAGCAACGCCGCGUGAGGGAUGAAGGCCUCUGGGCUGUAAACCUCUUUUCUCAAGGAAGAAGAUCUGACGGUACUUGAGGAAUAAGCCACGGCUAAUUCCGUGCCAGCAGCCGCGGUAAUACGGGAGUGGCAAGCGUUAUCCGGAAUUAUUGGGCGUAAAGCGUCCGCAGGCGGCCCUUCAAGUCUGCUGUUAAAAAGUGGAGCUUAACUCCAUCAUGGCAGUGGAAACUGUUGGGCUUGAGUGUGGUAGGGGCAGAGGGAAUUCCCGGU